UUUGUUGGAUCACUUACAUAUAAAGUUUUUCUUUGGACUUUGUUCCCCAUCACCUGCCAAUAUCAGUGCCAGAGAUGGAUCCACCGCCACCACAGCCAACCACGCCGCUGCUAGCCCCCGCUCCUCCUCCUUAUCACCAAGCAGGAUGCUUGGAUUUAUGUUUGUGGAUUUUGUGCUGCUGCGGUAUAUUUAAAUGUUGUUGCCCUCCACUGUUUGAGCCUGGGCCUCCUCCACCACCAUAGUGCUACCUUUUCUUAUGAGCCUACUUUAUUGGGUGUCGAAGAGAGGACACAAUAAGUAUUGCAUCAAUAGUCUUUGGAUUCCUGGUAAUCCUAGAACGACUCGAAAUCCUGCUGUUUUAGAUUCCUUGUUACUACUUCUGUAUAACCGAAGUCGAAUUAGUAUUUGUAUCAAUAGACUGUAUAAAUACCAAGGCUGCGCCACCCUAUAUUUACAGAGUAGAAAUGUUUAUCUUUUAGGUUGAUGUUAAAUAUAAAGUGGUUUAGCAGUUUUAUUUUGUUUCAAUUUGUUUGUUAGUGCUGCGUGUGGCACACAAUUUCUAAUAAAUAAAAGAUAGUCAUGGAGUUUGAGGAA